rnacentral:misc_RNA from 1 species
GAUGAAGAACGCAGCGAAAUGCGAUAAGUAAUGUGAAUUGCAGAAUUCAGUGAAUCAUCGAAUCUUUGAACGCACAUUGCGCCCGCUAGUAUUCUGGCGGGCAUGCCUGUCCGAGCGUCAUUUCAACCCUCAAGCCCCCGGGCUUGGUGUUGGGGAUCGGCGAGCCUCCGCGCCCGCCGUCCCCUAAAUCUAGUGGCGGUCUCGCUGUAGCUUCCUCUGCGUAGUAGCACACCUCGCACUGGGAAACAGCGCGGCCACGCCGUUAAACCCCCAACUUCUGAACGUUUGACCUCGGAUCAGGUAGGAAUACCCGCUGAACUUAAGCAUAUCAACAAGCGGAGGA